UACGGAGGGAGCUAGCGUUGUUCGGAAUUACUGGGCGUAAAGCGCACGUAGGCGGCUUUUUAAGUCAGGGGUGAAAUCCCGGGGCUCAACCCCGGAACUGCCUUUGAAACUGGAGAGCUAGAAUCUUGGAGAGGCGAGUGGAAUUCCGAGUGUAGAGGUGAAAUGCGUAGAUAUCUGCAGGAACACCCGUGGCGAAGGCGGCUGGCUGGACCGCAACUGACGCUGAGGAACGAAAGCUAGGGGAGCAAACAGG
rnacentral:rRNA from 1 species